AAGAGUUGUGUGAGCCAUUCUAACCCCCAAAUCCGACCACUCUCCCUCCCUCAUUCACUCUCAUCUGAUUUUUGAAGACUCUCUCAAGUGUUCUCUCCAUUUUGAACCCCAAGAACACCAAAGAAACUUGGAAGCUAAGUCUUGGUCUAGGAAGGGUUUUCCCUAAGUUGGUUAGGGUUUUUGAAAGGUUUUGAAGGAGUCAAAGCUUAUAGGAAGGUCCAAACCUUAAGCAAGAACACCAAAGAGUAUUGGCUAAGCGUAACUGGACUGAACGUUGGAGGGUGAAAACCUGCUGAGCGCUAAGGACUCCAAGUCAGUGCAAGGGCAAGGCAGAGCAGUGAGCGCUGGAGUCUUCCUUGCAAAUGUACAUGUGGACCGACCUUUUGGGAAGCCUUUUUAUUUUUGGAAAUGUUGUGUAAUUUUCCUAAACUAGGCUCACUCUAAUCUUUAUAAAACAUGUUUGUAAUUAAAUGUUAAGUAUGGCCAUACGACUUUUUAAAAAGUUUUUUUUUCUA